UCCGCAAUGGACGAAAGUCUGACGGAGCAACGCCGCGUGAGUGAUGACGGCCUUCGGGUUGUAAAGCUCUGUUAAUCGGGACGAAAGGCCUUCUUGCGAAUAGUUAGAAGGAUUGACGGUACCGGAAUAGAAAGCCACGGCUAACUACGUGCCAGCAGCCGCGGUAAUACGUAGGUGGCAAGCGUUGUCCGGAAUUAUUGGGCGUAAAGCGCGCGCAGGCGGAUAGGUCAGUCUGUCUUAAAAGUUCGGGGCUUAACCCCGUGAUGGGAUGGAAACUGCCAAUCUAGAGUAUCGGAGAGGAAAGUGGAAUUCCUAGUGUAGCGGUGAAAUGCGUAGAUAUUAGGAAGAACACCAGUGGCGAAGGCGACUUUCUGGACGAAAACUGACGCUGAGGCGCGAAAGCCAGGGGAGCGAACGGGAUUAGAUACCCCGGUAGUCCUGGCCGUAAACGAUGGGUACUAGGUGUAGGAUGUAUCGACCCUUCUGUGCCGGAGUUAACGCAAUAAGUACCCGCCUGGGGAGUACGACCGCAAGGUUGAAACUCAAAGGAAUUGACGGGGGCCCGCACAAGCG
rnacentral:rRNA from 1 species